UUAAGAUUAAUAUAUAUACUCUUAUGUAAUAAGUUUAAUUUACUUUUUUCAAUUUCAUCUAUUCAAAACACACAAAGGGCGCUCCCCUCAAACCCUACGACUCUUCAUCUCCUUUUCUCCCAAACACUCACAGACAGCGUAACUCCCCUUAGGUCCCCUCCACCAUCUCCGGUUCUUGGUUCUUCUCAUGGUAUCAGAGCUGCUGGCGGUGAAGUGCUGAACAAGGUUGUUGUUGCUGCUCUAUCGGAGAAAAGGGACUUUGUGAUCUUUGCUCAGGAUUGUAUUUUGCUUGCAAUCUGGUAUCUCUAAACCUAAUAGUCAUCGUCUGAUGUAUAAUACUUUAUGCAUGCCAGAUCUACUGAAACACUACAUACACAUUAACAUUAUUUCGGCAAAAACCCUGAAAAUCUAUAUGCAUGGGUUAGGAAUCUUCAAUACAUGCUCUCACAUAUACCAUCACCUAUCUAAUAUAACGGAUAUUCUCUUGUCACUGAUAUGUUGUCUGGUCAUCUUAUGUGUUAUGUUUCAUUAAUAUGUGAUUUAGACCCUAACAUGCUAAGACUGAUGCUACUUACUAUCAAAAACUAAUUAAUCAUGCUAGGAUGUACUAUCUAAAACCACAAAGGUAUCAAAAUCACAUACCUCUUAGGAUUCAUCUUUACUAGAUCUGUCAAAAUCAAAAUCUGCUAUGUUCAAUUUUGCUACAUUUCUCCACCAUGAUCUACAUCUGUUAUGCUCACUUCUACUUUACCUGUAUGUAUGUGUGCAUGUUAAUGAAAUCACCUUGGUUAUAUGUCAACCAUCCCAAAGUAUAUCUUAGGAUUUACUUUACUGGAUUUAAUCACAACAUCUACCAUUAUAAAUUAAGACUCUAUCAUUGUUAAACAGAGUGUGACCACUUGGUUCACACUUGUGAUCAUGGUGACAUGAUCACAAUACUCACUUACAUACACCAUGCUUCUAUCGAGACAUCAAUAUGUCUACCCCAGAGCAUGCCAAUAAUGAUCCACACGCUUCCGUCCAAACAACUAUCUCAAAACUCUGAACAUCAUAUUACAACAUGCUCAAACCAAACAAUGAUCAUAACUGAACAACACUGUCCAUUGGGCAACUAUCUAAUGUAUUUAUUUCAAUACUCAUACAAUCUUUUGAUAUUUUAUUAUUAUUAUACGUGUUAUGACAGUUUAUUUGACAUGGCUGAUAAAAAACCUCUGGGUGGUCCUCUAUUUGACCCCACAUCUAUUUACUAUCUGAAGACCUUUGAUCAUGGCCCACACUCCAUAAUUAACAUCCUACAAGGUUCCCACAAUUAUUAUCCCUGGAGUAGGGAGAUGACAACCAUGUUAAUCACUAGAAGGAAACUUGGAUUUGUCCUUGGUACCCUAAAAGAACCAUCUGAGAAGGACCUUGAGGAACAUGAGGCCUGGGUCACAUGCCAUGGGAUGAUUCGACAGUGGAUUUGGGGUUCUACCUCAAAAGAGAUUGCAUCCCAAAUCAUGUACACAAAUGACUGCUCUGUCAUAUGGGCUGACCUUAGGGAUCAGUUCAGACAGUCAAACGAAACACACAUCUACCAACUCUCCCAGGAAGUAGCUUUGCUCCAACAAGGGAGUGACUCAGUCUCCAAAUUCUACACAAAUCUCAAAACUUCCUGGAGAGGUGGAAGCAUAUGGGGAGGUACCACACUGUGACUGUGGUUCAUGCACCUGCAAUGUUAAUGGAAGAAUCAAUGAUAGGGAGGGCAGAUUGAAAAUAAGGAAAUUUUUAAUGGGACUAAAUGAUGAGUUCAAGCAAAUUAGGUCCCAUAUCUUAUCAAUGGACAAACUCCCCAUCCUUGGAAAGGUAUACUCUAUGAUAGUUCAUGAAGAGGCUCAAUCACAACUAUCCAACAAUCUCAAUCCAACACAAGGCUCAGCCUUCUACUCCUCAAGGGUCAACAGAAAACACAACAAUGCAAACUCCUCCCAUGCUGGGAAACCCUCAUCAACACCAUCUUCAUCCAACAUAAGGAAGAGGCCACCUCCACUCACUGAACCACUUUAUUACAAGAGUGGCAGACAAGUUAACAUCAAGUACUACUGUUUCCACUGUGAUGCCUUUGGGCACAGUGAUGAGAAAUAUUUUGUGCAACAUGGUUACCCUUCUGAGAGGCAAAACAAAGGUGCCCCUACAACCACAACAAUAAAACCCCCUACAAACACACCAAAUGCACCUGAUUCAGCUAAACCCCAAGGAUCUGUUAACUGUGUGGCUACUGAAGAACAAACCUGGUCUGCCUGGGAAUCCAAUGAAAACAACUCUGAGAAUCCAACAGGACCACAUGGUUUCCCAUUGUAUUCUGAAAAAUACAAUCCUAAACCACUUCCAAAGUACAAAUCAGGUACGACCAAUUUUAUAUUUCAUAAUAAUCAAUCAUAUCAUUAUUAGAUCAUUGACUCAGGUGCAUCUGAACACCUGAGUGGCAAUGCAUUCCUUUUCAUAUCUCUACAUAAAUGCAAACCAUUCUCAAUAUCAUUACCAAAUGGAGAUCAACAAUUGGUCUCACAAAAGGGUGAUGUCUCAAUAUCACCUAACAUAACACUUGAAAGUGUGUAUUUUAUACCUGUUUUAAAGUCAACCUGUUAUCUGUUAGCAAGUUAACACAAAAUGAUACCUAUACCAUUCAAUUUUCUAAAAACAGUGCAUUUAUUCAUGACAAGGUUCUGGAGAAGACAGCUGGUCAGAUUAAGAUGGAGAAAGGCUUAUAUCUACUACCACACAUCAGUGGUAGGGAUCAUUUUGUUGGUGUCAUAAAUACUUCUACUUGGCACAAAAGACUUGGCCACACCUCAUGUGGCAGAUUGAAAUACAUUUUAAACAAUCUCUCUUUACAUUUUGAUAACUCUGUUUUUGAUGCUCCAUGUGACACAUGCCACUAUGCUAAACAAUCUAGAAAAUCAUUUUCUUUAAAAGCAUCUAGAACUCAUAAUACAUUUGAUUUACUUCACAUGGAUGUGUGGGGGAACUUUCACACUCCAACUGUCCAUGAGAAGAAAUAUUUUCUAACCAUUGUUGAUGAUUUCACCAGGUACACAUGGACCUUUCUAAUCUCUCUGAAAUCUGAAUGUUUUUCAUUAUUUAGGAAUUUACACUCACUCAUCUUAAACCAGUUCAAUGUAUCCAUUAAGGCCAUUAGAACUGACAAUGGCGGGGAGUUCUACUCCUCUGCCAUGGACACUUUCUUAAAGGAUAAGGGAAUAAUCCAUUAUUCCAGUUGUCCCCACACACCACAACAGAAUGGUGUGGUAGAGAGAAAGCAUCAACAUUUACUAAAUGUUGCAAGAGCAUUACAAAUACAAUGCUCCCUCCCAAUUGAAUUAUGGGGAUACUCCAUACUUCAUGCAACAUUUAUCAUAAACAUGCUGCCCUCUAAAAUCACACAAAACAAAUCUCCAUAUGAACUUAUGCACUCAAAGACACCUUCCUUUGAGAAACUUAAAACAUUUGGAUGUUUGUGCUUCUCCACAUGCCUGGUGAAAAAAGAAAAAUUCUCCUCCAGAGCUAAAAAAUGUAUCUACCUAGGCAAUUCCCCCACCCAAAAGGGUGCAACACUAUAUGACAUAGAAUCUAAAAAUAUCUUCAUUAGUAGGGAUGUAACCUACUAUGAAGAUAACUUCCCCUUAAAAGAAGAGGCAAUCCAAUCUCAAAAUCUCAUAACCCAAAACACCACUCACCAACCACUGACCAAUAAUGAUAAUGAGGAAUUCUUUGAACAAGAAGAACCAAAUCUAAACACAGACACUUCUGAAGAUCAAACAAUCCCAAACCAAUCAAACACCUCAAAUGAAUCCUACAACCAAAACUUGGACACACACAAUAGUGGGGUUCAUAGUGAAACCAUCUCUACAUCAGAAACAAACCCAACAUCAGAAAGAUACCCCAAAAGAUAAAUUGUAAAACCUACAAAACUAAAGGAUUAUUAAUGUUCAUUUGUAACAAGUCAUGGUAAAUCAUAUGGGACAUCCUACCCAAUGCAUGACUACCUAACCUACAAAAGACUCACCACAUCUCACACUGAUUAUCUAGAUAAGAUAUCCAUCACCACUGAACCCUCUUCCUUCCUACAAGUCAGUCAGAGUUCUGAAUGGGUCAAAGCAAUGAAUGAAGAACUAGCUGCCCUAGAACUUAACAACACUUGGGAAAUUGUUCCCAAGCCCGAAAACAGGAAAAUAGUGGGCUCAAGAUGGGUAUACAAAGUCAAACACAAGUCCAAUGUAGAUGUGGAGAGGCUUAAGGCUAGACUUGUGGCCAAAGGCCACACACAAAUUGAAGGUUUUGACUACAAAGAAACCUUCUCACCUGUUGCUAAAAUUGUCUCAGUUAUGACACUUCUAACAGUUGCAUCUAUCAAAAAUUGGAACAACUACCAAAUGGAUCUAAGUAAUGCAUUCUCACAUGGAGAUCUCAAUGAAGAGAUAUUCACGACUCCACCCCCUAGAAUGCUCCCCAAAGGUGAUUCCAGGGUGUGCAAGCUUAAAAAAUCCCUCUAUGGCCUAAAACAGGCAAAUAGAAACUGGUAUGGGAAGCUCACUUCUGCAUUAAUCAAAUUUGGAUACACACAAUCUCACUCUGAUUACACUUUUUUUUUAAAUCAAAAAACAAUUCUUAUACAUGUCUAUUGAUCUAUGUGGAUGAUUUAAUUAUAUCAGGUGAUAAUCAAACUGAAAUAGAUGAUUUGAAAAAACAUCUACACAAUCAAUUUCAUAUUAAAGACUUGGGCAAAUUGAAAUAUUUUUUAGGAAUUGAGGUCUCUCAAUCCAACAAAGGCAUAUUUAUUUUUUAAAGAAAAUAUGCACUUGACAUUUUACAUGACUUUGGCCAACUUGGAACAACUCCAUCAAAAAUACCAAUAUCUCAUAAUUCUAAAAACUCUGACACUGAUACACCACUAAAAGAUCCUUCUGUUGGAUCGAGAUCCGAGGCUAUAAGGGGGGAUAAUAGCCUCUUUUCGAUUUAUGCAAGUUAAUAGCGGAAUUACCUACACACACUUAUGUACACAAAUAGUUGUAUAAUAAUAAUAGUAUAAUAUUGUUAGCAAUACAAUACUAUUAUAUAAUUUUAAAGAAUAUAAUAUUAUAUCUUAUAAUAUUAUAUGUAUUGGACUUGCCUUUUGCUCUUGAAGUUUACUACAGUAUAUGAAUACGUAGUCAACUUUUCAGAUGGUGUUUUAUAAACAACUAUAAUAUAUGAAUACUAAGUUAUAUUAUAAACACAAGUUAUAUUAUAAAGUAAAUGACCAGAUAACUAGAUAUAUUGAUAAGCAAGUAAAUGACCAGAUAACUGGAUAUAUUGAUAAACAAGUAAAUGACCAGAUAACUGGAUAUAUAUAUGAUAAGUAAAUGCUUGAACAAAUAUAUGAAUAAAGAUUUAAAGCAAUGAAUAUAACCUCAGAUAGUUGACCAGAUAACUGGAUGAGGAAUCUGCGUAAAGUAGUCAACCUCUGUAUUUGACCAGAUAACUGGAAGAGGAAUCCUUUUCAAUUAAGUGUUGUUUAGUUGUUUUUAGAUGAAAGAUAAAAACUAGAGUUAACAAAGAACAACACAAGAGAUUUAUACUGGUUCACCCAAACAAGGGCUAGUCAAGUCCCGACCAACUGUCGGAAUUCACUCGCCUAAAGGUUAUGGCAAAACCUUAGAGUAUCAAGGAAACUCUUAAGAACCUCUCUAAGCUUUAAGGCUACUUCGCUUAGGAACCAGUCUUUUACGGGUAGACUCACACCUUAGAGUAUCAAAGGCACUCUUAAGAACCUCUAACUUUUGCGGGUAAGUUAGUACCUUAGAGUAUCAAUGAACUCUUAAAAACCUCUCUAAGCUUUAAGGCUACUUCGCUUAGGAACCAGUCUUUAACGGGUAGACUCACACCUUAGAGUAUCAAGGGCACUCUUAAGAACCUCUAACUUUUACGGGUAAGUUAGUACCUUAAAGUAUCAAAGAACUCUUAAAAACCUCUGAAAUCUUUCAAGGUAGACUCGACCUAAGAGUUUUCCUGGAAACUCUAUAAAACCAAACUAGAGCUUUAUGGUUGAGCUCAAAAACCUUCUCUCAAACUUUGGUACUAUUGAGACAACCCUCUCAACCAAAGUGGACACACACAAGAGGUGAUUAGAGGAGUGGAAUAUUAAAGCAAACAACACUUCUUACUUGUAAAGAUGAACAAGAAGAUUAGAAGAAGAAGUUGGAGAGCUUUUGAAGCUUUGGAAAGCUAGGACACUUGAGCACUUGAAAGCUUGGAAGCUUGGAGGCAAAAACGUGUGGGCAAGUGUGGAGUGAAAUUAAGCUCUUGAGUUUGCUUGUAGUGUGGUGAGUGAAAAUGAGGGGAUUACCCUUCUAUUUAUAGCCUUGGCCACUCAAUGUCCACCCUUGGAUCUUCAAUGGAUGGCUUCUUGAUUUCUCACAUAAAUCCAAGCUUUGUCUUU
rnacentral:lncRNA from 1 species